rnacentral:lncRNA from 1 species
GCCUCCGUCAGAUGGCGCCUGGCAAAAGCGUGCGCGGACUCCAAACGUCGCCGCAGUUGCCGAAGGUACUCCGGACCCACUUCACCCCCCACCUCGGGCUCCGGCGGGCUGCCGAAAGCCAAGUCCACCGGAGUCCUCAGCUCGCGUCCGAACAUGAGCAGGGCAGGGGUGCAGCCGGUGGACUCCUGGACAGCAGAGCGGCACGCCCACAGGACCAGGGGCAGGUGUCUGUCCCAGUCGCGCUGAUGUCGGGAGGUAAGCACAGAGAGCUGCGUGGUGAGUGUCCGGUUGAAACGCUCCACCAGCCCGUCGCUCUGUGGAUGAAGGGGCGUGGUGCGCGUCUUCCGCACCCCCAGCCGGUCGCAUACCUCUUUCAUAACUUGCGACUCAAAGUUCCUGCCCUGGUCACUGUGCAGGUUCUCUGGCGCCCCAAAACGGCAGAACAUCUCCUCCACCAACCGCUCCGCUGUGGUCGCGGCACUCUGGUCCGGUACCGCAUACGCCUCGGGCCACUUGGUGAAGUAGUCCAUGGCCACGAGCACGUAGCGGUUUCCCCGAUCAGUGCGGGGAAAGGGUCCCAGCACAUCCACGCCCACGCGCUCCAUUGGGGCGCCCGACUGAAGUCGUUGCAGGGGGGCAUGCGACCGGUCACUGGGGCCCUUACGCGCCGUGCAGGCAUCGCAGCAGUGCACGAACAGCUCCACGUCUUGGCGACACCCCGCCCAGUGAAACCGCUGGCGCAGCCGGUGCAGCGUCUUCGCCACGCCGAAGUGCCCAAUGCCAGCGGGACCAUGUACUCGCUGCAACACGUCUUCCUUGAGGCUACGAGGGACGAGGAGCUGCCACAUGACUUGGCCGGGCACUGGCCCCUCCCAACGCCGAUACAGCAGCCCCCCCCUCACCUCAAGGCUGUCCCACUGUGAGCAGUAUGACUUGACGGUGGGUCCGUGUGGGGCCACAGCAGUCCAGGGUGGGCGCUGCCCCGACUGCAGGAAGCCCCGCACCACCGCCAGCUCUGGAUCGGCUUCCUGGGCCCGGCGGAACAGCUCUGUGUCGUCGGCGGAUCCCCCAUCACUCGCCG